AGUGAACGCUGGCGGUAGGCCUAACACAUGCGAGUCGAACGGCAGCACAGUAAGAGCUUGCUCUUACGGGUGGCGAGUGGCGGACGGGUGAGGAAUACAUCGGAAUCUACUUUUUCGUGGGGGAUAACGUAGGGAAACUUACGCUAAUACCGCAUACGACCUACGGGUGAAAGCAGGGGAUCUUCGGACCUUGCGCGAUUGAAUGAGCCGAUGUCGGAUUAGCUAGUUGGCGGGGUAAAGGCCCACCAAGGCGACGAUCCGUAGCUGGUCUGAGAGGAUGAUCAGCCACACUGGAACUGAGACACGGUCCAGACUCCUACGGGAGGCAGCAGUGGGGAAUAUUGGACAAUGGGCGCAAGCCUGAUCCAGCCAUACCGCGUGGGUGAAGAAGGCCUUCGGGUUGUAAAGCCCUUUUGUUGGGAAAGAAAAACAGCAGGUUAAUACCCCGCUGUUCUGACGGUACCCAAAGAAUAAGCACCGGCUAACUUCGUG
rnacentral:rRNA from 1 species